rnacentral:rRNA from 1 species
AGCGGCGGAUGGGUGAGUAACACGUGGGGAACCUGCCCCUAAGUCUGGGAUACCAUUUGGAAACAGGUGCUAAUACCGGAUAAUAAAGCAGAUCGCAUGAUCAGCUUUUGAAAGGCGGCGUAAGCUGUCGCUAAGGGAUGGCCCCGCGGUGCAUUAGCUAGUUGGUAAGGUAACGGCUUACCAAGGCGACGAUGCAUAGCCGAGUUGAGAGACUGAUCGGCCACAUUGGGACUGAGACACGGCCCAAACUCCUACGGGAGGCAGCAGUAGGGAAUCUUCCACAAUGGACGCAAGUCUGAUGGAGCAACGCCGCGUGAGUGAAGAAGGUUUUCGGAUCGUAAAGCUCUGUUGUUGGUGAAGAAGGAUAGAGGUAGUAACUGGCCUUUAUUUGACGGUAAUCAACCAGAAAGUCACGGCUAACUACGUGCCAGCAGCCGCGGUAAUACGUAGGUGGCAAGCGUUGUCCGGAUUUAUUGGGCGUAAAGCGAGCGCAGGCGGAAAAAUAAGUCUAAUGUGAAAGCCCUCGGCUUAACCGAGGAACUGCAUCGGAAACUGUUUUUCUUGAGUGCAGAAGAGGAGAGUGGAACUCCAUGUGUAGCGGUGGAAUGCGUAGAUAUAUGGAAGAACACCAGUGGCGAAGGCGGCUCUCUGGUCUGCAACUGACGCUGAGGCUCGAAAGCAUGGGUAGCGAACAGGAUUAGAUACCCUGGUAGUCCAUGCCGUAACGAUGAGUGCUAAGUGU